GACGAACGCUGGCGGCGUGCUUAACACAUGCAAGUCGAACGCUGAGGCGCAGCUUUUGCUGGGCGGAUGAGUGGCGAACGGGUGAGUAACACGUGAGUAACCUGCCUCCUUCUGUGGGAUAACGCUCGGAAACGGGUGCUAUUACUGGGUAUUAUCUGGUCUUCGCAAUGGGUUUGGUGGGAAGGGUGGUCUUGCUGGGGGUUGUGCUUGCGGCCUAUCUGCAUGAUGUUGGGGUAAUGGCAAACCAAGGCUUUGGCGGCUAGGCAGCGUGAGAGGGUGACCUGUCACAUAGGGACUGAGAAACGGCCCAGACUCGUACGGGAGGCAGCAGUGGCGAAUAUUGCACAAAGGGCGCAGGCCUAAUGCAGCGACGCCGCGUGAGGGAUGGAGGCCUUCGGGUUGUGAACCUCUUUCGCUCAUGAUCAAGCCGCAACAAUGGUUGUGGUGAGGGUAGUGGGUAAAGAAGCGACGGCUAACUACGUG
rnacentral:rRNA from 1 species